CGGGUGAGUAACGCGUGAGGAACCUGCCUCAAAGAGGGGGACAACAGUUGGAAACGACUGCUAAUACCGCAUAAGCCCACGGCUCGGCAUCGAGCAGAGGGAAAAGGAGCAAUCCGCUUUGAGAUGGCCUCGCGUCCGAUUAGCUAGUUGGUGAGGUAACGGCCCACCAAGGCGACGAUCGGUAGCCGGACUGGGAGGUUGAACGGCCACAUUGGGACUGAGACACGGCCCAG
rnacentral:rRNA from 1 species